rnacentral:lncRNA from 1 species
AAAACCUCAUCAUCCCUCAAUAACUUCAAGCAAAGACUGGGGGUCAGCCUGAUGAACCAAACUACUCAGUAAUCUCCUCCAUGAAGACUGGAGGUCAGCCUGAUGAACUAAACUACUCAGUAAUCUCCUCCAUGAAGACUGGGGGUCAGCCUGAUGAACCAAACUACUCAGUAAUCUCCUCCAUGAAGACUGGAGGUCAGCCUGAUGAACCAAACUACUCAGUAAUCUCCUCCAUGAAGACUGGGGGUCAGCCUGAUGAACCAAACUACUCAGUAAUCUCCUCCAUGAAGACUGGGGGUCAGCCUGAUGAACCAAACUACUCAGUAAUCUCCUCCAUGAAGACUGGGGGUCAGCCUGAUGAACCAAACUACUCAGUAAUCUCCUCCAUGAAGACUGGAGGUCAGCCUGAUGAACCAAACUACUCAGUAAUCUCCUCCAUGAAGACUGGGGGUCAGCCUGAACCAAACUACUCAGUAAUCUCCUCCAUGAAGACUGGGGGGUCAGCCUGAUGAACCAAACUACUCAGUAAUCUCCUCCAUGAAGACUGGGGGUCAGCCUGAACCAAACUACUCAGUAAUCUCCUCCAUGAAGACUGGGGGGUCAGCCG